rnacentral:misc_RNA from 1 species
AACAGAUGUUCCUUUCGCCAUUAUUGGUUCAUCAACCAUCAUGUCUGUCGUCUCUUCAUCCGAGCUCUCGUCGUCUUCAUCAUCAGCGAUCACCAUUUUACUUUGAUGAACAGCAUUUCUCGCAUGGCCUUGUUUCCUUAAUUUUUCAACUGAUUCAGAAUUACCUUUAAGACAGUCUUCAUGAAUAAUCAUCAAUUGGUAUGCAACCUGCUCGACGCUAUCAUCACAAACAUCCAUAUAGAACAACUGAUCCAUGU